GCAGCGCCGCCUCCCACACACACAGCAGCGCAGGAGCCGGCGAGGAAGAAGGAGAGGAAGAGGAGGAGGGAGGGGAAGAGGAGGAGGAGGAGAGAGGAGGCUCCGGCCCCGCCCAGGAGAGCAGGUGGCCGAGCGCGGCCCUCCUCCCGUUCCCUUCCGUGCGGGAAGGAAGAGGCCCUGCAAUCGGGAGGAGCGGCGAAGCGGGCAUCCGCAGCAUCAGCACCAGGCGCAGCAUCUCCUCCGGCAGAGCCUGCCUCUCUGGGAGGCCAAAGCGGCGGCGGGUGGCGUCCCCGGGAGCCCCUUGGUCUCUGGCCCAGAUGCAGCGGGAAGGCAGCGGCCCGGCAGAGGAGGGCGAGGCCGGGCAGACCGAGCCCAACGUCGCCACCACCACCGCCUCUCCUUCGCUAAUGGCGCCGGCGGGGCCCGAGGAAGAGGAAGAGGAGGAGGAGGAGGGAGGCGAAGGACGGAGCGGGGCCCCCGAAGGCGCCUCCAGCCUCAGCCCCCGGGAGCAGGUGGAGCUGCAGGAGGAGGUGGAGGGCCUGCGGGAGGAAAACGAGACCCUCAAGAAUGAAAUAGAUGAGCUGAGAAAUGAGAUGGAUGAGAUGAGAGACAGUUUCUUCGAGGAGGACGCCUGCCAGUUACAGGAAAUGCGGCGCGAGUUGGAGAGGGCCAACAAAAAUUGCCGGAUUCUUCAGUACCGUCUUCGAAAGGCAGAACGCAAGCGGCUUCGCUAUGCUCAAACUGGGGAGAUUGAUGGAGAACUUCUCCGUAGUUUGGAGCAGGACUUGAAGGUUGCAAAAGACGUUUCAGUUAGACUUCACCAUGAACUGGAAAACGUGGAAGAAAAACGAACAACCACCGAAGAUGAAAAUGAAAAAUUAAGACAGCAGUUAAUUGAAGUAGAUAUUGCUAAGCAGGCUCUACAGAAUGAAUUUGACAAGAUGAAAGAGCAGUCCAUGAAAAGAAGAGGAAGCAAAGACUUGCCAAAAUCUGAAAAAAAGGCACAGCAGACACCCACUGAGGAGGAUAGUGAAGAUUUGAAAUGCCAGUUGCAGUUUGUCAAAGAGGAAGCUGUGCUGAUGAGGAAAAAAUUGGCCAAAAUCGACAAGGAAAAGGAUAAAUUUGAGCAUGACCUGCAAAAAUAUAGGUCACUUUAUGGUGAUCUAGAUAGUCCUUUACCAAAAGGGGAAGCUGGAGGUCCACCUACCACAAGAGAAUCAGAGCUUAAGCUUCGUCUGAGGUUAGUAGAGGAAGAAGCCAAUAUUCUGGGAAGGAAAAUCGUGGAACUGGAAGUAGAAAACAGAGGGCUAAAAGCAGAACUUGAUGACUUGAGAGGAGAUGAUUUCUCAGGGGCUGCUAAUCCCCUUUUGGGGGAGCAGAAUGAGUCACUCUCAGAAUUACGACAACAUCUGCAGCUCGUUGAGGAUGAAACUGAACUGUUGAGGAGAAACCUGGCAGAUGUAGAGGAACAAAACAAGCGCAUCACUACAGAGCUGAACAAAUACAAAUAUAAGUCUGGGGCUCAUGAUAAUUCAAGACACCAUGACAAUGCAAAGACUGAAGCUCUUCAAGAAGAACUCAAAGCUGCCCGCAUGCAGAUCAAUGAACUCAGUGGCAAAGUCAUGCAACUGCAGUAUGAGAAUAAAGUCCUGAUGUCCAACAUGCAACGUUAUGAUUUGGCUUCCCAUCUGGGAAUCCGGGGCAGUCCCAGAGACAGUGAUGCUGAGAGUGAUGCUGGGAAAAAAGAAAGUGAUGAUGAUUCUCGCCCUCCACAUCGUAAAAGAGAAGGGCCUGUUGGUGGGGAAAGUGACUCUGAAGAGGUCCGCAAUAUUCGUUGCUUGACUCCCACAAGAUCCUUGUAUCCAUCACCAGUGGGGUGGCAGAAAGGCCCCACAGACAGGCAACAAAUGAAGGACAUCCGGUGUGAAGCAGAACGAUUGGGCAAAACAAUAGACCGUCUGAUUUCAGACACAAGCACUAUAAUCACAGAGGCAAGAAUUUAUGUGGCAAAUGGGGACAUGUUUGGAGUUAUGGAUGACGAAGACGAUGGCAGUAGGAUACGGGAACACGAACUCCUUUAUCGGAUAAAUGCCCAGAUGAAGGCAUUUAGGAAAGAGCUCCAGGCCUUCAUUGACAGAUUAGAAGUUCCAAAAUCCUCGGAUGAGCGAAGUACUGAUGAACCAUCAUCACUGAGUCAGAUAGGAAAUCCAAGAGCUAUAGUUUCUGUAAAAAGUCACUGCUGUAAAAACACUGAAGACUACUUGUUUGAAAUAAAGGGAAUCAGUCCUUGAGAUGCCAAAACAUAAUAGAAGUAAAAGCUGGAAAUUUUCACAACUGAAUCAGAAUUGCAGAAAUUGUGUGUAAGCAGGAUCAAUAUUUUAAGAACUUGAAAGCUUUUCUCUGCCUCCUGCUUUCACCACCACUUUACAUUUAGCCUGACAUCUUUCUGAAGGGAUUCUUUCCAUGCAAAAGCUUUGCCAGGCAAAAAUGAAUGCAAGAGAGGAACGUUAAUCCCUUGAAGAACAUAGUUUUGUGUAUUCCUGUACUUCGGAACAGACUGUCGCUAGACAAAGAGCAACUGCUCACAAGGCAGAAGAAGAAAGCAAGAAUGUGUCUGUGCCAGCUCAACAUUCAAAUGGGAAAGCCUUCUCUUGGCCAACUGAGCCAGUGAACAAACAAUUUUCAAAUGGGCCUCUAUCACCGCUUGCCAUGAAAAGGACAAUUUUUCCAAACUCAAGAAUAGACUCAAUGCAGUUGUGAAAGCUCCAUGCAUCGUAAGGACUCUCAGCUCCAUGACCACAACCAAUUCUGUGCAGUUGCAUGAUGGUCUAUAGAAACCUUAUCUUUUGCUGGAGAAAGAGUUUUGAUUCUCAGAACAUCCUUAGUCUUCAGUGUUUUUAUCGACUGGAUAAAGAUAUUCCCUGCAUCUGUAUAUAUCCUUUUAUAACUCACUGUUACUUUUCUUUUGAAUGACAUAUGCCUAUCUUCAUGUUUACUAACUAAUUUUGUAUGGUAUAGUUCUGCAUAUUCUGAAUUUUCUCUCAAACAGCACAUAGAAAUGCUGUAUGCAUGACCAUAUGUUUGUAGGUGCAUGUGUUGGAAUAGAAAGUGUAUCAGUCUGUAUUUAGAAGAGAAAAUUCAAUACUAGUAUUGACAUUGAAAUUACAAGCCAAUAUACAUACAUAUAUACAUAACACAAAUACAACAUUUUGUGAUUUAUUUCAAAGAUUUUAAAAAUGUAUUGCUCUGAUGACCAUGAUAUUUGUAGUAUCGUUUACAGGUUUCACAACUCUAGUAUUUGAUAUACAAAAACAAACAAAUACACUUUUGUAGCUAUGAUAACAGCAAAAAAGCAGUUGCACAAUAUGUAUCAGAAGCGUAUUAGAUUAAUAGAUGCAUUGUGCUUAAUGCUACCUUACAUUCUUUCUUUCCCAGUAUUGCUCAAAAUGAGCAAAAUGAGUUCCCUGUUAUUUAUAAUUGCUUUAACUUUUUUUCAGUGCACAGCCAUUCCAAAAAUGACGAUCUGCCUUACUAUUCAACAUAGCGCAGGGAGAGGACUCAGUUGAGUUUAUUUAGGCAACAACAUUUGUUAGCAGGAAAGGGGGAGCACUAAAGAACAUGACACACAUCUUCACAGUGGUUUUAAUUCUUUUAGUUAUAUCUUUUAGUUAGAUCAAUUCAAUCAGUGACAUAUACUUUAUGUUGUUUCCCCACCCAACAGUUUACCCAAUGACCGAACUCCAUUUGGGACUAACAAGUAAGAUUUAGGGCAAUAUCUUAGCACACAAUUAAAUCCUUAAACAAAAACCCUUAAAACCUCCUGUGUCAUUGCCAAAUUCUGUCAAUGAUAGGGGCUGAGGUGAGGAAACCACUGUAAUCAUAAUCGGGUAUGAAGUUAAAAGAGAUCUGGAUGAUGGAAAGGCUAGAUAAAGACUGGUUUUGGUGACAGAUUCACAUUUCUUACAACAUUUCACUCCUUUUUCAAGUUAUAUACAAGUAAUGUUAUGAUUAUUAGAUGGUCACUGCUUAACCUAGUCUGUAUGAUGUUGGUUCAGAUUGUUUUGCCUAGUUUGGUUUGUCCGCAUUCAGUCAGGACUUGGAUCUGAUAAAGCAUGGUCCAUCAUGUC